CAGGAGCUGGUUGUCCAAACAACAAGUAUCCUAGCUAGUUGCAUCAAGAGAGAGAGAGAGAUGGGAAGAGCUCCAUGCUGUGACAAGGCAAAUGUGAAGAAAGGUCCCUGGUCACCUGAAGAAGAUGCUAAGCUAAAGGAGUACAUAGAGAAACAUGGCACUGGUGGCAAUUGGAUUGCUCUCCCCCACAAAAUUGGUCUGAGAAGAUGUGGAAAAAGCUGCAGACUGAGAUGGCUCAACUAUCUCAGACCCAACAUUAAGCACGGAGAAUUCUCAGAUGAUGAAGACAGAAUCAUUUGCUCCCUCUUUGCUUCCAUUGGCAGCAGGUGGUCAAUAAUAGCAGGUCAGUUACCAGGCAGAACUGACAAUGAUAUCAAGAACUACUGGAACACAAAGCUCAAGAAGAAACUCAUGAUGUCUAUGCCUCCACCACUGUCAUCUAACCACAAGAGCCCACAUCAACCUACCAUAUAUCCAUCACCACCACAUAAUUCCCUUCUACACAACUCCUCAAUCAUUACAUCUCCAGUUAGGGCUAAUUGCUCCAGAGGUUUUCAGCCCAUAUUAUCCCCUACUUUCACCACUCUCAUCUCUUCAAAUUCUGGUGCGCAUGAUGGGUUUUUUGUGGGCCCGUUACAUGGUGAUUAUGAUCAGAUAAUCAACAGAGAUAGUAAAAGUAGCAAUCUCCUCAUCUUUGGAGGGGAAGCUAGCUGCAGCUCAUCUGAUGGGAGCUGCACCACCAACCACCAGAUUACUACUCAUGGCCGUAGUAAGGAUCAGGUACUGGACCAUGAUUACAUGUUCCCCAGUGGUGAUCAGAAUUUAUGUUUCAGCAAUGGGGUUGAUGAAGAUGAUCAGAAAUUCUUGACCACUACUUCCAUUGAUCAUGGUUAUUCAUCAUCAGCAGCAGCUGCAGCAGCAGGAAACGAGUGCUUUGGGGGAAAUCCACUGGAUUACAGCAUUGAGGAGAUCAAGCAGCUGAUUAGCACUAACAACAUGUGCAGCAACAAUCUCAAUUUCUUUAUGGAUGAGAUCCAAACAGAAGAAGAUCGACGGUGAUGGUUGAGGGAGGAUUAUUAGGUGUCUUAGGCAAAGACUGCUCGGAAAAUGUCUGUCCUCCAAGAAUGUCUGUCUAGUGAAAAAUGCAAAUGAUCAGCUGCUGGAGGGUUUGGAACAGCUACGCUACGCAAAUAGAUGAGACGCCAACGGACAAAAGUCCUUGACGUUUUCAAACAUUAGGGUUUAUUAAGAAAGUCUGCACCAAACAGAAGAGCCAUUGGAUUUGAGCCUUGCAACUACGUACAGAUUAUCAAACCUUUGUCAAUGUUAGGUAUUACUGUUUGAACCCACAAACCCUUCUCCUCCAAUCCCCCUACUAUCUUUUUUAAA